rnacentral:tRNA from 1 species
UAUAAAGUAAGCUAAUUUAAGCUAUUGGGUUCAUACCCCAAACAUGAUUUUUCCUUUAUAA